CAACAUGUAGUAGUUUGAGCCUUAAAAGAGGGUCUAAUUUCUCUUGAAGACACACCCUACUUUGACGCUAGACGUGAAAAAACGGCCUAUUUCUAACAACUUUAGCGUUAAAGUAGAAUCUAAAUGACUAAGUGUCAGAUGCAGUGUUCAAGGAAUGGUUCAACGAAUGGUUCAAUAUACCUCCAAAUGAUAAUAAUAAUAAUAACAAUAGCAUUAAUAAUGAUUUUGAUGUUCGGAUUGGUGACUUCGUUUCAGUAUAUAUUUUUGAUCCCCAAGACGAAAUUCACGGUACCGGUGUUUUUAUUGGAAAUAUCGACGGAAGAAUCGAAAGUGCUGACUUACCUGCGAGAGGUGCUAUAAAUCAUUGUCUUUUUGUACGAUUGCCAAGUGGCGUCGUUUUUUAUGCGAACCUAAUUAAACGUCUUGAUAAUCCCUAUGCCAAUGGGUGGCCUUGUCGCUAUUUUAUAGAAGGACGAGAGGACACUUUUUUCUCAAAUCUUCUUACGCCAAAUAAGCCUUCUGAUUCCCGAGUCAGGAGCAUUUUGUUGCAAAAGUAUAAACAUGGUCAUACAAACGUUUUUUAUAUGUGGGCAGAAAUAGGUCACUAUACAAGAAAUUUAGUUCCUAAAUGGGCAAAUCGUGCAUAUUGGUUUGCGCCGCACACUGCAUAAACCAAUAUUGUUGGUUCGUUUUUAUUUCACUUCUGUACUUGUUUUCCAUUUUUUCUUGUUUUGUGUGUGAAUUAUCGCAAUAUUAGUGACACGGAAUAAUUGUAUUUCAUAAUUCAGGGUUGCUACCAAAUCUCAUUUUUAAAAUCUUUUUACAUUUCCCUGGUCAAUUUUUUAUUUUACCUGACGAUGGAAAUUUUUCUUCUGGUAUAAAGUAACCCCAUAAACUACAAUUUUCAUGCAAAAAAAUAUUUCUAAAUUUUUCCUUAAAACUUUUAGUGCCAAGAUGAAUACUUAUUUUUAUAAACUAUAAUAUAAGUUUAACGAAAAUUUCCUGAUACUUUGAGGGGUUUAGUAGCUCACCCUGACUUUGACGAACCAUUUUAAAAUUCCGUAGCUUGUGGCUACCCCGAUAAUUACUUUCCGCUAUUUUCUAAUUCUGUAUAACGAUAUCCUAAAUAAACUAUCUGUCGUUGUAGAUUAUAAUCCAUAAAUUUGUGUAGCCUUAAUUUUUCUGUUAUUAAAAUUGUAUAUUUUUACUUGU